GGCGGUGACAGUAGGAGGAAGCAGCAGCGGCGUGUCCGCUCCGCCCCACCGGCGGCAGGCGGGGUUCUCCGCAGCGCGCAGUCGGCCGCCGCCAGGACAGCAGGCAUAAGGAGUGAAACCGGUUCCCAGUUUCUCCAGCAGCAUGUCUGUUUCCUCCAGUUACUUUGCAGCACGUGUGCACACUUCUAACAACUCUGUGCUUGCAUGUUUGAGUUCUGUCCUCAUUGGGUUCAGUGGUUGGUGGAGAGGAAAAUCAACACUUUUCAACCAACCAACCGCAACAACAACAACAGCCCUCCCCAAACCCCAAUA
rnacentral:lncRNA from 1 species